rnacentral:lncRNA from 1 species
AAAUAAAACAGCUCUUACAGCUUUGGAAAUUACGCAUCUCCUGAGGACAGCUUUUGGUGUUUCCUAGUUUUUCCAUCAGAUACCACAUGGAAUCUGUUUGCCUCUCAGUAGCUGCCAUUUGGUGCUGCCCUGUCCAGUACCUGAAGGCUUUCCCAGCUCAAAGAUACAUGCAUGGAAAAAAAAAAACCCCACUAUUUUAUUGUCUUGAAAUUUCUCUUUGAAAUGAGUUUGAAAGCAGCUCUAACAAAACACAGCAUAUCAGAGGAGCAGAGGUGUCCAAUGAGAACUUUAGGAGGCUUACUGGAAAGAAUGUUACACUGGAUCUGUUCCAUCAUCACUGCAUUUCAACCAGGUGCUGUCAUUCAGCCUUUUGAACAAAGAAUCAGAAAGGCUCUAGCUGCCAAAAGCCACUCUUCUUGCAACAGAUGCAGCAAAGCUGGCAGUGGAUCUACUUUUCAGCUGCUACACUGAACUCCCCACCGUAGGUAUUUAUGCACUUAUUUAUGCACGUACCCCAAUGUCUUUAACAACUGAUAACAAAUAUCAGCACAGAUAAGAAGAAAUUUGAUAAAUGUAAUUCAUAUCCAAGUCACUGGGUGCAUACAAACUUCUAGGAUGUACAUAGGAUGAAACAAAUUACAACUGUUUAUAUAACAUAGAAAAGAUAUAUAUAUUUCUGUAUCAGUUUUUCAGCAAGUCCUGCCCACCUUCCUGGAAUGAUUUCCAAAGGCGGGAUCUUUGAUGCUAUCAUCUUGCUGUGAUACCUAAUGAAUAAAAAUCUCAUCAAAUUAGAAAGCA